AUUUUAUUUACAUAAUCAAUCAAAAUUGUACAAUAAAAUAUUAAUAGCAUAUGCAAUCAAAAGUUGUACAAUAAUAUGUUCAUAGCAUAUGAUAAACUCAAAUAAAAUAAAUAAUAACUAUUAGCAGCCUCUUUCGGAUCAUCCACAGUCGAAUUUAGGGUGUCUUAACCUGGAUGCACCAUAAACCUCGUUGUAGUGGAUCUAAUUUUCUCUUUCAAGUGCUAUCAAUCUAACAGAAAAAUCAAAGAACCAUUAACCUUUGGACCUCAAUGAUUAUGUAUAAACAAGAUGAACAAGAUUUCAAACAUAUAUACAAAUAUGAGGACAAGAAGUACUUAGGUCAAGCGAUAACAAAAUUCAAGAAUUCCUCCCCAGGAAACAAGAGCAAAAACUAAAACCACAACUAAAACACAAACCUCUUAACAAGAACAUCCAACGGCAGCCGAACAAAAGAAGACUAUGAGCAUAGCCCCUCAAUCAACCAACCCGUAGACAAAUCCGCCACAAGACAUUAACGGUGCCAAUACAUAAUGAUUUAAGAUCCCACUCAUAGAAGGAACAUUUGUGACCAUAAUGUUUUCCUAAAAACCACUUUCAAGAGGUGAAUUUAACCAUAUCCACCAACUCGAGCACAAACGUCUCCUUCCUGAAAAAGAUGCGAGAGUUUCAGGAUAUCCACAAGGACCACACAAUAGAUUGCCAGAUUAAUAAAAAAUCUAACCUAUCCAUUUUCCAUCCACCUAAAUCGAAUAUAAAACUAUGAAGAAUCAUUAUAUCUGAAGGUAAAAAACUCCUACCCCAACCACCUAAACACAUGAUACCACAGACAAUACAUUUUCGAUAAACCUAAGAAAAAAUUAAAAAAAUUGUUUUAUUUAAAAAUAAAUAUUUUUUUUCUACCAAAAGACAAAUAAUACAUUGAUUUUCUUUGAUCAAACUAACCACAAAUUCAUUGGUUCAAAAAUGGAUCUAAAUGAUGAAUAAGACACUAUCUGAUCUUAACCUAACGAUCUAAGUCCACAAUAGUGUAAAUUCACACUAUUGUAGACUUAGAUCCACAAUGUGUAAUGAUGUGACUGCAGACAAUAAAUUUUUGAUGAAAUCUAUAAAACAAUAAAUAUUAAUUUGUUUGAUUACCCAGAUGCAAGUUAACAAUGAUUUCAUGCAAACAUAUACAAUCAUAUAUGCUAAAUCUUAACUAAAAUCUUGGAUUUCAUUUUAAAAAAUGAAUCUAAAAUGGAAGCGGAAAUUAUUGACCAGAUCUUAAUUGAACGAUUCAAAUCUGUAAUAACGCAUCUAAAAAAUGGAUCUAAAAAACAACGGAAAUUAUACACUGUUAGAUCUGAAUCAAAAGAUCUAGAUCUACAAUGUAAUGGUGUAACUGUAGGCAAUAAAUUUUUGAUGAAACACAAGAAACAAUAAAUAUUUUUAUUUGUUCAACCUUAUGAAAAGUAAAACAAAGAUAACCUAGAUGCAAGAUAACCAUGAUUUCAUGCAGACAUAUACAAUCAUAUAUGCUAAAUCUUAUUCAAAACCUUUUUCAGUUUUUAAAAAUGGAUCUAAAAAACGAAGCGGAAAUUAUACACCAGAUCUUAAUCGAACGAUCUAGAUCCAUAAUAAUGGAUCCAGAAAAUCUUGUAUUUCGUUUUAAAAUUGGAUCAAUACAACAUGCAAAAAUCAUACACUAUCAGAUCUCAGUCAAAUGAUCUAAAUCCACAGUGUAAUUGUGUAACUGCAAACAAUCAAUUUUUGAUGAUUUUUUAUGAAACCUAUGAAACCAUAAAUAUUCAACCAGAUGCAAGAAUAAUCAGACAAAGAUCACCCAGAUGCAAGAUAAUCAUGAUUUCAUGCAGACAUAUUCAACCAUAUAUGCUAAAUCUUAACCAAAAUCUUGGAUUUCAUUUUAAAAAAUGGAUCUAAAAUAUGAAGCGAAAAUUAUACACCAUCAAAUCUUAAUUGAAUGAUCUAGAUCCAUAACAGUGUGAUUGUAUAAGGGCAAUCCAUUUCCUAAAAAUUCAACUUAUUAGAGAGAAAAAUUUCUUAGAAGGGAGCAUAUUGAAUGUUUUCAAAUAAUUCAAUAAAAUAUCACAUAGGAAAUGGAUUGAUUUAAGCAUACCUCGUCUCCUAAGCUCCUUACAAAGAUCAGAAUUAAUCAAAAACCUACUAAAGAACGUUGAAAGGACCUAGCAAUGUCACUCUCUUAGAUAUAAGGGGGUGAACGGAGUGAGGAAUGAAAUCAAGACUACUUUGAAAUAUAUAGUCAAAGACCUUG
rnacentral:lncRNA from 1 species